ACGAGGAGUCUUUUCCCCGCAGACAUUCAAGUUUCAAAUUUACACUGAAACAUAUGUGCAAGCGGAAUUUAAAUUAGUGACACGUCUACUAAUUUCAUAAUAUUUAAAUAUUGUAAGCAGCACAUCAAGAUCCGCGAAAUCGGACUGUUUUAGUGAGGUAAUUAGUGACCUACUGUAUAAAGUAAGACGUAAAACAAUUGAAGAUCAACAUUGAUGCUGAACUGCUCAGAUUUGCCAGACAAGGAUGAGGCAGCUUAAAGGGAAAGUAAAGGAAAGCAAGAAGGAGAGAAGAGAAAGAAGAGGAGACAAUGUACAAAACAGAGAGAAAAUGUUAACAGUGGUCAUUCCAACCUUGGUUGUUUUAGCAGCAAUCAUCUCCGUCUAUGUCUUCAUCAAUUCCAGACCUGGCACAGCAUGAUCAACACUGCUAUCCCACAAUCUACACACCCUGAUCAUGAUGUAGCUCUGGUUGUCACGGGAAUCGAUUUUGGUGCUUAGUACAUGAUGAAGUGGAUAAAAGUGAAGAGUAACAGCUCUGUAUUGAACAUAUCUACCUAAUACAAAUGUGUACAUUGAUACCAUGAGAAAAUGGUGUAGACGUUCUGGCAGCAGUUUGCCUGGAUUACAACAUAUACUUACAUGUGGCACUGUACGUCUCCUAGCGUUGUAUGUGGUUGUGUAUGUGUAUGUGUGUUAACAAAGUUAAAUACAAACAUAUUCAAGGAAAAUGGUUUACAUUUGUAUUUGAGUCUGUGAUCAACUGAAAUAUUAAGAGUAUAUGUGGUAAUAUAAGAACUGUUUUAUAUAUAAUACAAGGACGGCUCACUAAUUCAUUGGAAGUUUAUAUGACAUCAAUGGGUACCUUUUUAAAAAAAAUAUAUAUAUUUUCAACUUAUUCCCAAUAAAGUACAUGCAUUUAAUGCAAUGCAUAAUCUAUGUUCUAAGGAUCGAUGAAUAAAUCUUGUGAAUAAAUGCUAUCAUGAUACAGUGUACAUGUGUGUUCAAUCCACUAUUGGAACCUAUAUAUAGCUACCUACUGUUUUUUGAAGCAGAAGCUGGAAACACAACUAUAGUUUUUUGUUUGGCCAUUAACCUUGAUAAAAUACAAGUGGGGAAAAAUUAGAAUGUAUGCUGUUAUAAUUUCAAAUUUAAUCAUCAGACAUCUAAAACUACACAAAUCAAACAUGCAUAUUCUUGCAUUCAAAACUUUCAUAAAAUUACUGAGAAAAUCAUAGAAUUACUUAAAAAAGAAAUAUACAAAAAUCGCUACGUUCCAAGUAAUUUUAAGUGACCUUUUGACAUUAUUAGAAACUAACUAAUGAAUCAAUUAUUAGCUGGUUCAAGGUGCAUAUGUUUUGUUUUACCUUUUAAAUAAGUUUAUACAUGUAAAAUUACCUGGUAAUUUAAGAGAGAAAAUACUCAUUGUGACUGAUGAGAUUUUUUAAAAUUUAUUAUUAUUUCUUAAUAGUUGAGAUAUUUUUAUUUCAUUAAUUAUAUAUGUUCCUUUCUUAAUUUAAGACACAAACCAUUAACAAAUUUAUAAAAAUGUGAUUUCUGGGGCUUGAUACCAGAAACUUCUUCAACCUGGCGUUCCUCAAUGUCCUUCUCUUUUGGAAUUACCUCAACCUUGAUAUCAUCCCCAUUUAUGAAAAUUUUCUAUUUUUAUAGAUUCUAUUUGGUAUAUAUAAUAGUCUUACACAAAUCUUAAUCAAACACAUGAAUUUGUGUUACUAUAUUGCACAAAGUUUUGUUAGUGGUAAGAUUUUCUUCCUUAAUUAUCAUAAUGUAAGUUCAAUUUUAGACUGGCUAUAUCUACCAGCCCCUAAGUUUUUAUGAAGAAUUUCUCAACUGCAUUUUACUACUAGCUUAUCUCCCCCUAGUUAAUAAUCGGACAUCCAAGUGAUCAAAAUUAUAAGAGUUAUUUUUUUUCUAAAUAAUUCAAUAUUCUGGAGAUGGGGGCCAGUCUAGUUCAACAUAUGACAAUCUUAAAUUUAGAAAUCUGGAUUUGCUCAAAUUAUACUUUCUGUCAAAAUAUUCACUAAUGAAUGA